UUUACUGUGAGCUCAGGCAUGUAGUAUUGCUGGUAGCAAUGAUGCCCUGAUUAUCAGUUUGUUGUUUGAAAUACACAAGUUUUAGACACUGCAUGUUUUGCACAAAGUGGUGCUCCUUAACCGCAUAAUUCGUUACGAAAUGGCAUAUGCAUGAGAGCUGUAGAAUCCUUAGUUGAAGGCAUAUGCAAUGACUAAAGGACGUUUGAUAAAGAGUCCUAGAUUUAUGUUAUCUUGAUUGGUUUGUCUAUUCAGUAACAAACAAUAAGCAGAAUAUGCUUCUACUAUUUCCUGUUCUGGUUAAAUUGAUAUGUUAUGGUAGAAAAUUAUAUAGUGCGUGUCUAUUAAAAUGUGGGAAUGCCCUUUUGGGCAUGUAAUGGUAGUCUGAAGGUGUUUCUCUCUGGAGAAUUUUGUGCUAUAGUUCUAGACAAGAUAAAGUGCCACAGCUAAUUUACUAAUGAGGAUUAGGUUGAUCAAUUUGUAGCCUUUGUUGACAUGAUAAUAUAUUAUGAUCAGUAUUUCUUUUCAGAGACUAAACUGAGAUUCGAAAAAUUUGUAUAUCAGGUUUUCAAGACGCAUCCAUAUUGUGUGCAUGUGUGUGUAUGUGUGUUUUUUUUUCUCUUUCAAAUGGCAGCAUGGCAUAGAAAUGAGAUAGACCUGCAGGCUGCAUCAAAAGGUUAACAUAGGCAAGCUAGGUGUGCAUUCAGUCAGUUUGGUUCUUAACUGAAUUGAAACCAAGAACCAAAACCCCAAACUACAGAUUAUGAAUAACCCAACCAAAAUAUGGAUUUGGUUCAUAGGUUCUGAUUUCAGCAAACAAAAACUCACAAAAACCACUUCUACUCUCAUCAGAAGUUCCCAACAAAACAUAGAAACAAACCCAAACCAUGUUCAGAUUUCAACAAACAUUCCAACAAUACAAAAUCUAACAUGAACAAGAUAAAGAAUAAUAAAGUAAACUCAAUGAAACAAUCAGGUUUCUCCCAAUCAAUUUCAAGAAUUAAACCAAAAUAGAUCUUAUACUUUCAACAAACAAUACAAAUUCAAUAAUCAAAGUUCCCAACAAAACAUAGAAACAAAUCCAAACCAUGUUCAGAUUUCAACAAACAUUCCGACAAUACAAAAUCUAACAUGAACAAGAUAAAGAAUAAUAAAGUAAACUCAAUGAAACAAUCAGGUUUCUCCCAAUCAAUUUCAAGAAUUAAACCAAAAUAGAUCUUAUACUUUCUACAAACAAUACAAAUUCAAUAAUCAAAGUUCCCAACAAAACAUAGAAACAAAUCCAAACCAUGAUCAGAUUUCAACAAACAUUCCAACAAUACAAAAUCUAACAUGAACAAGAUAAAGAAUAAUAAAGUAAACUCAAUGAAACAAUCAGGUUUCUCCCAAUCAAUUUCAAGAAUUAAACCAAAAUAGAUCUUAUACUUUCAACAAACAAUACAAAUUCAAUAAUCACUUAAAACAAUUUCAAUUAGUCAAAUAACAAAAUCUGGAGUGGAGACUUGAGUCAGCAUGAGAAAUAAGAGAUUUGGAUUGUGAUGAAUCGAACAGGAGAGGUGAGGGAGUCGACUCAGUAAUGGCUUGAGAUGCAGCAUAAAGAUUCGAGAUGUGAACAUCAACGGUGAGAACGAGAACAUCGAUGGCUUCUUCUUGUGACUCUCAUCUGGCUUCAUCUUGUGAGAAUAUUGAUGACAAGACCUGAGCUAGCCUAUGGCUUCACUGGAGAGUGAGAGAGCCAGGGGGACAACUUGUGAGCAAUGGGACAGAUGAGAGAAAAGCGAAGGGUUUGAAAUGAAGCACAGGAUCGAAGAGAAAAAGUGUGUAUAAAUACCUAUGUAAAACAAUACAAAAUUUGACUAUCUAGGUUCUAUUGAGUUAUUCCAGAUAGUUUCGAUCUUAAUAACCAAACUGAAAUUCUCUAAAAUAACUAAUCAAAACUGAACCGAAAGAUUGAAUUAAAUUAAAUCGGUUUGGUUUUUCAAUUAAAGCUGAAAUGUGCUCACCACUACUAGCUAAUUAAAUGUUGUUCAAAGAUCAUUUUCUCAUGAAGAAUGAGAGAUGGCAUGAUUGCUAUUCAUAGGCCAACUCAUUGCACAAAGUUAUGAUUGGUGAUCAGGAUAGACCUGAGAUUGAGAAUCGCAUGAGAAGACAUAUGAAAAUGCCUUAUCAAUUGUUGUAAUUGAGAACCAGCAAGUUUUGUCAUUUUAUUAUGUUGACAGAAACAUUUACAAAUAUAUCUAAAUGUUCUUGUGUGCUUUUGUGCCACUGUAAGGGCUGACAUUAAUUUCUGUUUGCCUCUUUUCAUUUGGCU
rnacentral:lncRNA from 1 species